UCAUCGCCAAGUUCCGAGAAUAAACGCCU
rnacentral:sRNA from 1 species